UCAGCAUCGGUCGCUCUGAUGGAUCAGAACUUGGUUGAAGAAAAUAUGGCAAUAAGCAAAGUCUUUGAAGAAUUAUCCAAAAGUAUUUCAACAAAGUAUUUCAACUUUGAUGAGGACCCCAGGAUUGAGCCUGCCCUGACAAAUGCCACAUGCUGCCCAAAAAGAGUAAUUAACAACAAACUAAUCAACCCAUCACUCAGGAGGCCAAACCCAUACGGCAUAUCCCACAGGUGCUCUCUUCUUUCUUAUUAUUUACUUUUACU
rnacentral:lncRNA from 1 species